rfam:Rattus norvegicus chromosome 3, whole genome shotgun sequence.
GGGGAUUUAGCUCAGUGGUAGAGCGCUUGCCUAGCAAGCACAAGUCCCUG